rnacentral:rRNA from 1 species
ACACUCCUGCGGGAGGCAGCAGUGGGGAAUAUUGGACAAUGGGCGCAAGCCUGAUCCAGCCAUGCCGCGUGAGUGAUGAAGGCCCUAGGGUUGUAAAGCUCUUUCACCGGUGAAGAUAAUGACGGUAACCGGAGAAGAAGCCCCGGCUAACUUCGUGCCAGCAGCCGCGGUAAUACGAAGGGGGCUAGCGUUGUUCGGAUUUACUGGGCGUAAAGCGCACGUAGGCGGACUAUUAAGUCAGGGGUGAAAUCCCGGGGCUCAACCCCGGAACUGCCUUUGAUACUGGUAGUCUUGAGUUCGAGAGAGGUGAGUGGAAUUCCGAGUGUAGAGGUGAAAUUCGUAGAUAUUCGGAGGGACACCAGUGGCGAAGGCGGCUCACUGGCUCGAUACUGACGCUGAGGUGCGAAAGCGUGGGGAGCAAACAGGAUUAGAAACCCCAGUAGUCCCA